UACAGAGACUGCAAGCGUUGUUCGGAUUCAUUGGGCGUAAAGGGUGCGUAGGUGGCAUGGUAAGUUGAAGGUGAAAUCUCGGAGCUCAACUCCGAAACUGCCUUCAAUACUGCUGUGCUUGAGAGCUGUAGAGGAGAAUGGAAUUCACGGUGUAGCAGUGAAAUGCGUAGAUAUCGUGAGGAAGACCAGUGGCGAAGGCGAUUCUCUGGGCAGUUUCUGACACUGAGGCACGAAGGCUAGGGGAGCAAACGGG
rnacentral:rRNA from 1 species